rnacentral:rRNA from 1 species
UGGGGAAUAUUGGACAAUGGGCGCAAGCCUGAUCCAGCAAUUCCGCGUGGGUGAAGAAGGUCUUCGGAUUGUAAAGCCCUUUCGGCGGGGACGAUGAUGACGGUACCCGCAGAAGAAGCCCCGGCUAACUUCGUGCCAGCAGCCGCGGUAAUACGAAGGGGGCUAGCGUUGCUUGGAAUGACUGGGCGUAAAGGGCGCGUAGGCGGCACGGACAGUCAGGCGUGAAAUUCCUGGGCUUAACCUGGGGGCUGCGUUUGAUACGUCCGAGCUAGAGGAUGGAAGAGGCUCGUGGAAUUCCCAGUGUAGAGGUGAAAUUCGUAGAUAUUGGGAAGAACACCGGUGGCGAAGGCGGCGAGCUGGUCCAUUACUGACGCUGAGGCGCGAAAGCGUGGGGAGCAAA